ACAUUGCUGUGAGGAAGCCUGGGCCACAAGGAGAAGCCCACGUGGAGAGACCCAUGUAAGGAGAAACUGAGGCCCUGAUACAUGGCCUCAUCUGCACUGCCAGCUGACAGCAGCACCAGCCUGCCAGCCAUGUGAGUGUUCACACUGGGAAUGGAUCCUCUAACCCGCAGAUAUGAGAUGAAUUGCCUUGGACUUUACCCAAAGGUUGUGGAUCAAGAAAGGUCCUAAACAAAGCUCAGGGGAAUGGGACUAAACUCACCAGUAACAUGCGUAGCCAAAGGUCUAUUUUGCUUAAGCUGGUCUUGAACUUCUGACCUCAAAUGAUUCUCCCAUCUCAGCCUCCGAAGUGUUGGGAUUACAGAUGUGAGUAACCAUGUCUGGCCUAGCUUUUAAUUUUAUAAAUGUUAUUAUAUUUCAGUAGAAGUAAAAUAAGUAAGCUAAGAACUAGAAGCCAAAUGGUGUAUUGAUAGACAGAUAGCUAGACAGGCAUAGAUAUAGAUGUAUAAUUACUUAACAAAUCCUAUUAAAAUCAGGAAAUCUAAGUAGCUUCUAACUGAGUUAACUGAGCUUACUAUGGCAAUGCAGAAACAUAAUUGUAUCAACCUUACAAUGCAGAUAAAGUUCCAGGAGUGAAAUUUUAAAUAUAACAUUAUUUUACUUAACCUGUAAAACAAAUGAAAAGUGACGGUUUUGAAACUUUAAGUAAAUGCUUGACUGUGAUAGCACCAAGUAUCUGAAUUUUUUUCUUUUUUUCUUUUGAGACAGAGUCUUACUCCAUUUUGCAGACUGGAGUGCAAAGGCAAAGUCGCAGCUCACUGCAGCCUCAAACUCCUGGGUCAAGCCAUCCUCCUGCCUCAGCCUCCUGAAUAGCUGGGUCUACAGGUGCACCCCACCAUGCCCCCCAGCUAAUGAAUAUUUUCUUUUUCUUUUUUUUUUUUUGAGACAGAGUCUCCCUGAGUCAUCCAGGCUUUCCUCUGUCCAAGCAGUGGUGCGAUCUUGGCUCACAGCAAACUCUGCCUCCCAGGUUCAAGGAAUUCUCCUGCCUCAGCCUCCUGAGUAGCUGGGAGUACAGUCAUGCACCACCACUCGCAGCUAAUUUUUGUAUUUUUAGUAGAUAUGGGGUUUCACCAUGUUGGUCAGGCUGGUCUUGAACUUCUGACCUCAAAUGAUCCACCUGCCUCAGCCUCCAGAGUACUAGGAUUAUAGGCGUGAACCAGUGUACCAGGUCAAUGAAUAUUUUCAAAUUGGAUUUAUUGAACACCUCAUAAUGUUUCAGUACAUAUCUAAAAAGUGCAUUAUACUGGAAAAAAACAGCUUAGCGUGGUGGUUAAUGGUUUCAAUUCUGGAGUCAGACCAUCCUGGGUUUGAAUCCUAGCUCUGUCUAUCUCUAGCUAGUUGAUCCUUGGGCAGAUAAUAUCACCUUUUCGAGCUUCAGUCUCCUCAUCUGUGAAAUGGGUUUAUUAGUCUCCAUUUUAAAGGAACAUUGCAAGAAUUAAAUGAGAUCAUGGAGUUAAAAAGCUUAGCACAAUGCCGAUGUCAAAUAAGUGUUAGAGAUUAUUACUGUUUUAAAGAAAGGAGAAACAGCGGCCACUCAGGGCCAAGGGGAAGGAUGCUCUUCUCUGAGGUCUUGCUGAGCCACAAGUAGCUUGUCAGGACUGCCUUGUCACAUCAGCCUAACCCCUAUGUCGUGUGUUCUCAGCCACUUCACUGCAUGAUCUCACUCCCAGUGAGUACUCACACCUCCAGAUGCCCUCUAUUAUACUUUUUUUUUUCCGUUCUGACAUCUGCAUGGAAAAAGAAAAGAAGCUCUUAGAGUUAAGUAUGAAACAGGCCAGUGAUGACAGUCAGAGAAGAGUCCUGCUGCUGGCCUCUGACGAAAGCCACCAGAGGGGCUUUGAUGCAAACCUAAUCUGAAGAAAGGACUUCGAUUCCAGGCUCAAAAUUCAGAGCGAAUUCAUUUUUUCUUUUUCAUGUAAUUAAUACGUAUGCUUUGUUUAACAACAACAACAAAACUGCAUAGUCCAGACAAAUGAAAUGCUAAGUCUCCUGUCCCAAACGCUUCUAGUUCCGGUUUCUUGUUCCUUUUUAAUUACUGGUUUCUGGGCUUUUGGGGAUCACCUUUAUUGUAGGUGAAUUUGAGUGGAACAUUCUGAUGAAAGCAUUAUAGGGACCUACGUCAUGAUAUGUUGAACCUAAGGGAACAAGAGGAUUCUAUGUCCUGGUUGAGGCCAGUGUCAUCAUUGGCGGAUACCAUCUUUGCAGAAUUUGAAAAUGAAAUUUUGAAUAAAUGAGCAGAUGAUGAUCAAAGAAGCCAGAAGAGCCAGAAGAACUUUUCAGUUUACAUCUUACUACAACCAUCCCCAGAGUGCCUGGGCAGAGCAGGCAGGGGGCCAUUAAUAAACCAGACAAUGCCCACAGCUUGUCCAAGGAGCAGGGCUUGAAAAUCAGACCGGGAACCUGAUUCUUCCUGUCCUAACCAGGCACCUGGAAUGGUGAUGGAAUGAACCUGGCUGUGAAUGGUCCAGACCUGGCACCCAGACAGACCCUUGAGAAGAAAGAUAGGAAUAGUCCACCUACUGGGGUACAGGGUUCCCCCAGCCAAGCCAGCCACAUGAAAACCUAGAACAAACCAAGACUCUACUCUUCUCAUAGACAUGCCAGCCAACUUGUAACUUACCUAGCAGGAAUUUAGAAGUGGAUUAAGGAAAUAAGAAUGAUCCAGGUUGAUUUCACUAUGGUCAGAUGCCAGUAAAAUAAAUCUAGAUUAUCAUUAUGUAUUUAUACCCACAAAGAGAAGGACUUGGCAUGGAUUGCAAAGUAUUUAAUUAUAAUUUAGACAUAUUAUGGCACUCAGUGUUUUGUUUUAUUAUACCAUUCAUUUAUUGACAGGCCAAUGUGACCACAGAAAAUUUAACAUCCCAACCAGUCCUUCUCCCUGACUGCCUGUAUUGCUAGGAAGAAUGAAAAUUAGCUGUAUAGGAAAAAAAAAAAGAUUCACUUUCAUAAGUAGUCCACAUGUACUGUUGUAAAGAUUCACUGUCAUAAGUAGCCCACAUGUGAUGUCCUAAGCGCAGUGAAUGUAGGGGAGGAGAGCUGAGUCUCUAAGCACACAAGCUCUUUGAAGCAUCUCUGCCUGGCAAAGGCUCUUCUCCCGGCCUCCAAGUUAUCCUUUCAGACUCACCUCUCUUUAAAACCUUUCACCUCCCAGUUAGGAUGAAUUUCUUCUUCUUUUCUCCUUCUGGGGUGUCCUGUUCUUACCUCAAUAAUUUUUUCAGUGAUGUGUUCUAAUUACUAGUUUAAGAAUCUGCCUCUUGUACUGGUCAGUGAGCCUUUCCAGAGGGCAAAAGACUGCAAGAAUUGCCUUAUUCAUUUUGGUACAUCCACACAAAGAAGGACUGUGCUACAGUAAAAGAGAAAAAGGAAUUAUCAGGCAUCAGCGAAAUGAAAAUGAAAUCCACCAUGAGGUAUCACUUUACAUCCACUAAGAUGGCUAUAUUCAAAAUGUCAGAUAAUAACAAGCGUUGAUGGGGAUAAGGAGAAUUCAGCACCCUCGUACAUUGCUAGUGGGACAAUAAACUGGUGCCACAGCUGUGGAAAACAGCCCUUUGGUUCCUUAAAAGAUUAAUCAUAGAGUUACCACAUGAGAAAUGAGAAAGCCAAGUAUAAAGGGGUCACCGGAGAACCUCCAACUGUCCUGCUCACUGGGAGGAGUGUGCACUGGGGGUGGAGCCUCAGGAAGUUUGCAUGUUUGCAGGUGGGAGGAGCCUGGCCUCUCCUAUUCCAGGGAGGUAUCUGGGAUUCAGUCUGUGAGUCAGAAAUCCAACUAGCAGGAUCUUUGCUUUGCUGAGAGUCUCUGUUUCCCCCCCUUUUUUCCUUUUUAUUCAAUAAACACUUCCUUUCUCACCCUUCAAAGUGUCUGUGAGCCUAAUCUUUGAUGGUCGCAUGACAAGAACCCAGGUUUUAGCUGAACUAAGGAGAAAGUCCUACAACACAGAUAAAUACCCAAGAUAAUUAAAACUGCACAUCCACACAAAAACUUAUACAUGCAUGUUCAUAGCAGCAUUGCUCAUGAGACAAAAAGUGGAAACAAUUUGAGCACCCAGCAACUGUCAGAUGAAGCAAUAAAAUGUGUUGUAUCUAUACAAUGGCAUAUUAUUCAGCAAUUAAAAAAUAUGAAGUACUGAUACAUGUUACAACAUGGAUGAUCCUUGAAAUUAUGCUAAAUGAAAGAAGACAGGGGCAAAAGAUGACACAUUAUUUGAUUCCACAUAUAUGUAGUGUCCAGAACAGGCACAUCUACAGACACAAAGUAGGUUGCUGGCUCCCCAGUGAGUAACUGCUAAUGGGUACAGAUUUCUUUUGGGGGUGAGGAAAAUGUUAUAAAAUUGAUUGUAGUGAUGGUCACACAACUCUGUGAAUACACUAAAAAACACUGAAUACUUUAAAUGGAUCAAUUUUAUGGCAUGUGAAUUAUUAUCUUAAUAAAGCCGUUAUUUAAGAAAAUUAGAACAAGCUCUUUCAUUCUGGUGUGGUUUCUGCCAUAUAAAGUUACCAAAAAAGGCAAGGUGUAAAAGAGUAUACUUUAUAAUUUAUGUUUGAAAAGGGGGGCAUAUUAAAAUGUGCACGCAUCAGCUAAUUCUUGCAGAAAGAAUCACAGAAAGGAUAAAUCAGAAAUUAAUGAUAAGCUGGACACAGUAGUUCAUGCCUGUAAUCUGAGGCAGAUGGAUCAUUUGAAGUCAGGAGCUUGAGACCAGCCUGGCCAACAUGGCAAAACCCCAUCUCUACUAAAAAUACAAAAAUCAGCCCCACAUGGUGGUGGAUGCCUGUAAUCCCAGCUAUUUUGGAGGCUGAGGCAAGAGGAUUGCUUGAACCCAGGAGGCAGAGGUUACAGUCAGGAGGUGGAGGUUGCAGCAAGCCGAGAUCAUGCCACUGUACUUCAGUCUGGACUACAGAGCAAGACUCUGUCUUAAAAAAGAAAAAAAAAUUAAUGAUAAUGUCCCCUACAGAGGGAGAGUAUGCAAAGGGUGGAAGGGGAAGAGAGGUAGUGUCACUUCUCUGACUAAAACUUUUUGUAUAGUUUUGACUUUUGGAAACAUGUUGGUGUUUUUAUAAAUUCAAAAAAAAUUAACAAAGUUGGCAGAAAAACAAAUUGGACACAACAUGAAUUGAGCUGUAUAGCGAAUGAUAUAAACAUAUGGGGAAAAAAAGGACUGUGCACAUAUAAACAGCCUAAUGACAGAAAAAACUGCAAAUACAUCUUGAACUUUGGCGUAGUAGUUUUGUUAUUGGCAGUGCAAUGAUAGGAAUUCUGGAAGUAUUUUCUGGAUAUUGCAGGAUAGAGUCAAUGACUAAAUUUACACUGAAAUAUUUGGAAACCAGAGCUUUUGCUGAACCAGAGACUUUGCUGUUGCAUUUCAUAUGCAAAUACGAAAUGGGGGCUAGAGAUGAAGAACUGUGUGCUGGAAUCACUAUAAAGUCAUGAUUUUAAAUAUGUGGGUAUAGAUUUCCUAUCUUUAUUGGCCAAAAGUGUUUAAAAGCAGCCACAAUGCAGUAGCAAUAUCCACACUUAGUGCUCAGAUCUUGGUUUCUAAAUUCCAGUUCCCAUUAAUAGGAAUCAGUGCUUCUUAGAAAAAAAAAAAAUAGCUGCUUCCAGCACUGGGCCAGGGAAUGCAGAAUGAAUAUCUCGUGCAAAGGAGUGCCCCAAAGAUGAUGAGGAACUGUCAAAAGGUCUCUGAAGGGAUUCCCACUGUGCAAAUAAGGAACAAUUUGAGCAUCAAAAUAAAUAUCAUCCAGCCUGGGCAAUAUGUCGAAUCCUUGGCUCUCCAAAAAACACAAAAAAUUAGCAGGGUGUGGUGAUGCAUGCUCGUAGUCCCAGCUACUUGGGAGACUGAGGUGGGAGGUUCACCUAAGCCCGGGGAGGUUGAGCCUGCAGUGAGCUAUGAUCAUGCUGCUACACUCCAGCCUGGGUGACAAAGUGAGGCCCUGUCUCAAAAAAUUAAGAAAAUAAAUAUCAUUAGUAACAGAUUAUAACAUUAAAUAAAAUGGGAAUUCAUGAGCCCAUACUGAUACAAACAAAUGAAUAAGUAAGUAGGUAGAUAGAUGAUAGAUAGGAAAACUUUUCUUUACAUUGGAAAGCCAAUUGAGGCUGGGUGCAGUGGCUCAUCCUUAUAAUCUGGGAGGCCGAGGCAGGUAGAUCACCUGAGAUCAGUUCGAGACCAGCCUGGCCAAUGUGGUGAAACACCAUCUCUAUGAAAAACACAAAAAUUAGCCAGCAUGGUGGUGCAUGCCUGUAAUCCCAGCUGCUCGAGAGGCUGAGGCACCAUUGUUUGACCCCAGUGGCAGAGGUUGCAGUGAGCCAAGAUCAUGCCACAGCACUCCAGCAUGGGCAACAGAGUAAGACUCCAUUUCGGAAAAAAAAAAAAAAAAAAAAAAAGAAAGUCAAUUGAUAAAAGUAAACACAAUGAUGAAAUUGGAAAAAUCACUAUGUGGCAAUCAUCAUAGCAAUAAGAAAUUUAACUAAAAAUAUCAAAUGAUAAAAUUAGUGGGUGAAUGAUGAGAAACAGGAUACUGACAUGGUCUCAAAAUAACUCUCCACAAAAUACUGAGUAUAAACAGAAAGCAAGUAACUAUAAGCAGUAACAUGAGGCAGAGAGCACUUUAAUCAAAUAAUGAAGGUUAACAUCAGCAUGUUAGACAAACUGAAAUCGCACACCAUGUCAUACGAUACAAUGAGGACACGUAGCCUCACUUCUGUGAUACCCUACCAAAAUGCAAGUCAUGAAUCUAAUCACAAGGAAGCAUAAGGCAAAGGCAAACUGAGGGACAUCCUGCAAAAUAAUUGACUUUUAAGAGAGUCAAGGUCAUAAAAGCCAAAGAAAGAUAAAUAAAUAUGGCAACUAAAUGCAACAUGUAUUCCUGGACUGGAUCCAUUUGCAAUAAAGGACAUUAAUAGAACAAUUGGAGAAAUGAAUGGGGUCUGUGGAUCAGAUGAUAGUAAUUAUCAGUAUUAACUUCCUGAUGUAAAUGGUUGUAUCGUGGUUAUGUAGGAGAAAGUUCUUGUUUGUAGGAAUAUUUUUUUUCUGUUUUUUUAAAAUUGCAUUUCAGGUUUUGGGGUACAUUUGAAGAACAUGCAAGAUAGUUGCAUAGGUACACACGUGGCAGUGUGAUUUGCUGCCUUCCUCCCCUUCACCUAUAUCUGGCAUUUCUCCCCACGCUAUCUCUCCCUGACUCCCGACCCUCUGCUGUCCCUCCCCUAUUCCCCCCAACAGACCCCAGUGUGUAGUGCUCCCCUCCCUGUGUCCAUGUGUUCUCAUUGUUCAACACCCACCUAUGCGUGAGAACAUGCAGUAUUUUAUUUUCUGUUCUUGUGUCAGUUUGCUGAGAAUGAUGUUCUCCAGGUUCAUCCAUGUCUCUAUGAAGGACACGAACUCAUCGUUUUUGAUUGCUGCAUAAUAUUCCAUAGUGUAUAUGCACCACAUUUUCCCUGUCCAGUCUAUCAUCGAUGGGCAUUUGGGUUGAUUCCAGGUCUUUGCUAUUGUAAACAGUGCUGCAAUGAACAUUCAUGUGCAUGUGUCCUUAUAGUAGAACGAUUUAUAAUCCUUUGGAUAUAUACCCAGUAAUGGGAUUGCUGGGUCAAAUGGAAUUUCUAUUUCUAGGUCCUUGAGGAAUUGCCACACUGUCUUCCACAAUGGUUGAACUAAUUUACACUCCCACCAGCAGUGUAAAAGUGUUCCAAAUUCUCCACAUCCUCUCCAGCAUCUGUUGUCUCCAGAAUUGUUUAAUGAUCGCCAUUCUAACUGGCAUGAGAUGGUAUCUCAAUGUAGUUUUGAUUUGUAUCUCUCUAAUGAUGAGUGAUGAUGAGCAUAUUUUAUGUUUGUUGGCCUCAUGUAUGUCUUCUUUUGUAAAGUGUCUGUUCAUAUCCUUUGCCCACUUAUGAAUGGGCUUGUUUUUUUUCUUGUAAAUCUGUUUUAGUUCUUUGUAAAUUCGGGAUAUCAGCCCUUUGUCAGAUGGGUAAACUGCACAAAUUUUUUCCCAUUCUGUUGGUUGGCGAUUCACUCUAAUGACUGUUUAUUUUGCUGUGCAGAAGCUGUGGAGUUUGAUUAGGUCCCAUUUGUCUAUUUUGGCUUUUGUUGCCAAUGCUUUUGGUGUUUUGGUCAUGAAGUCCUUGCCUACUCCUAUGUCCUGUAUGGUUUUGCCUAGAUUUUCUUCUAGGGUUUUUAUGGUGCCAGGUCUUAUGUUUAAGUCUUUAAUCCUCUCCACCCCAAAUCCACAGAAUAUACAUUCUUCUCACACCUACUCUAAAAUUGACCACAUAAUUGGAAGUAAGUCACUCCUCAGCAAAUGCAAAAGAACGGAAAUCAUAACAAACAGUCUCUCAGACCACAGUGCAAUCAAGUUAGAACUCAGAAUUCAGAAACUAACUCAGAACCACACAGCUUCAUGGAACUGAACAACUGGCUCUUGAAUGUUGACUGGAUAAACAAUGAAAUGAAGAUAGAAAUAAAGAAGUUCUUCAAAACCAACAAGAAUGAAGACACAACAUACCAGAAUCUCUGGGACACAUUUAAAGCAGUCUCUAGAGGAAAAUAUAUGGCAAUAAGUGCCCAUAUGAGAAGAGUGGAGAGAUCCAAAAUUGACACCCUAUCAUCAAAAUUGAAAGAGCUAGAGAAGCAAGAUCAAAAAAACUCAAAACCUAGCAGAAGACAAGAAAUAACUAAGAUCAGAGCAGAACCGAAUAAGAUAGAGAAACAAAAAACUCUUCAAAAAAUCAAUAAAUCCAGGAGCUGGUUUUUCGAAAAGAUCAACAAAAUAGACCACUAGCUAGAUUAAUAAAAGAGAGAAUAACCAAAUAGAUGCAAUGAAAAACGAUAAAGGGGAAAUCACCACAGAUCCCACAGAAAUUCAAACCAUCAUCAGAGAAUAUUACAAACAACUCUAUGCACAUAAACUAGUAAACCUGGAAGAAAUGGAUAAAUUCCUGGACUCCUGUGUCCUCCCAAGCCUAAACCAGGAGGAAGCUGAAACUAUGAAUAAACCAAUAACAAGGUCUGAAGUUGAGGCAGCAAUUAAGAGCCUACCACACAAAAAAAGCCCAGGUCCAGAUGGGUUCACAGCAGAAUUCUACCAGACACACAAAUAUUCAAAAUUAUUCAGGGAUAUUAGACAUUAUGCAGCAACUCUUCAUCAAAUGGUUCAGAGGAUGGGGAAGCUCUUUGUUCUAUUUUUGCACCUUAAGUUUGAAUUUAUUUCAAAAGUGAAAAGAAAAGAUUCCAUGAGUCCACACUUAUACUAAAAACAAACAUUAAAAAAUAGGAAAAGAGAAAGUUUUUAUUUACAGUAGAAAGCCAACUGAAAAAAAGUAUAAGAACAAUAGAGCUUUCAAUAUUACUAUUUUUCAACUGCUGUGUUAUUAAUUGAUUUAGGCAAAGACCAUCAGUGGAUCCUAAAAUUAUUGGGUGAUAAUUUGUUGAGGAACAAGAUACUUAUACAGACUCAAAGCAUCUUCUCAUACUACUUAUUAAUUACAAAGGGGAAAAUGGUAUAUUUACCUAAGUCCGAUAGGUACUACUUCAGCCAAGUGAUUCAAGUUAACAUCAGCCAUGAUGGUAUGAACUGACAGCAGAUGAUUCCUGCUAUGAUGCACUAAAGGAGACACACAACAUUUACAUUGCAUUCUUGAUAAGAAUGCAUACUCAUAAUCAAAUCACAAGAAGGCACUCAGACUAACCUCAGGUGCCCAGGUCUUAGUUUCUACAUUGUAUUAAUCAACAUUCUGUAAAACAGUAGGCAAGCACUCUUUCAAAAUGAGGGCUGAUAAAUCACUGCACAUUAAAGGACACUAAAGAAACAUAAUAAUGGAAUAUAAUGUGCGAUCCUGGAUUAAAUCCUAGAUUAAAGAAAUAAAAAAUUGCUAUUUUCUUUUCUUCCCCCCAGCUCUGUCACCCAAGCUGGAGUACAGUGGUACAAUCACAGCUCCCUGCAGCCUCAAUCUCUGGGGCUCAAGUGAUCCUCCUACCUCUGCCUCCCAGGUAGCUGAGACUACAGGUGCACACCACCACAACCUGCUAAUUUUUUCUGUGUGUAUUUUUUUUAGAGAUGGGCUUUUGCCAUGUGGCCCAGGCUGGUCUCAUAUUCCUGUGCUCAAGGGAUCUAUCAGCCUGCCUCAGUAUCCCAAAGUGUUAGGAUUACAGGCAUGAGCCACUGCAUCUGGCCUAAACAUUGCUAUAUUCAACAUUAGUAUAGUAGUUAAAUUUGGAUAAAGGCUGUAUAAUAGAUAAUAUUAGAUCAAUGUUAAAUUUUCUGAAUUUGAUAAUGAGACUGUCCUAAUUCUAGUUAAUCUUUUCAACUUACUCUCAAAUGUUUCAGAGAAAAAAAAAUAAGAGCAUUUGUGUGAGAGAGAGAGACAGAGAGUGUGGGAGAG